GUGAAUCAUCGAAUCUUUGAACGCAAAUUGCACUCUCUUCGGAGAGUAUGCCUGUUUGAGGGUCAGCCUAUAAAAAAUCGACAUCGUUGCUGUUUCGCGGUGGCGUUCGUCGGCCGUUGGGUCAUCUUAAAUCAUUUGGUUUUAAGCGACUUAAAAUUUUCUUUUUGUUUCCAUGAUUGUUUCUAAGAUUUAUUUCUUUUCACGUUUUAGGUAUCGAUUUUUAUUAGCUGUGAACAUCAUAUCGCAUCGUGCCUAUUAUCUUUCAUUAAAUGACCUUAGUCAGGUAAGAG
rnacentral:misc_RNA from 1 species